rnacentral:sRNA from 1 species
AGAAAAGCAACUUGAGAGGAGACACAGGAAGGCAAUGAUUUGGGGCUUGGCUAAGAUUUUGGGGUUUUCCCCCCCUCUUGCGGGUACUGGAAUUCUGCAGUCAGCCAGCCCUUUUUUGAGGUGGAAAGGGGAAAUGCUUUCCAAACCCACCUAGUUUGGGAAGCCAUCCCAGUCCCGGUGGUGUGAGAUCCAGUGUGGCAAAAAGACUGGAAGGAAAGAAAAAGGAGAUCCUCUCAACAUUGCGAUUGAUAAGAUGACUAAGAAAACAAGAGAUCUAAGGAGACAGCUUCGGAAAGCAGUGAUGGAUCACAUAUCUGAUUCUUUCUUGGAAACCAAUGUUCCUUUGCUAGUUCUCAUUGAGGCUGCAAAGAGCGGAAAUGAAAAGGAAGUGAAAGAAUAUGCUCAAGUUUUCCGUGAGCAUGCCAACAAACUGGUAGAGGUUGCCAAUUUGGCCUGUUCCAUCUCCAACAAUGAAGAAGGGGUGAAAUUAGUUCGGAUGGCAGCCACCCAGAUUGACAGCCUGUGUCCCCAGGUCAUCAAUGCCGCUCUGACACUGGCUGCCCGGCCACAGAGCAAAGUUGCUCAGGAUAACAUGGAUGUCUUCAAAGACCA